UUUAUUUUGAAAAGAUAUGUUACCUUCAAUUAAACUUAAAAACUAAUUCCUACUUCCAAUUCGUAGGGUUAAAAUUGUAAAACUAUUAAUUCGUUGUUGUAAAUAUGUAUGUUAAUUUUUUAAUGAUUUAAUGAACGUGUUUCGUUAUGGAUUAAAUAUAUUUUUGUUUAUU